GGAAUAUAGCUCAGUUGUUAGAGUGCUUGCCUCACCUGCAUAAGGCCCUGGGUUCAAGCCCCAAAACCA
rnacentral:tRNA from 1 species